AUUGAACGCUGGCGGCAGGCCUAACACAUGCAAGUCGAGCGAGCGGCGGACGGGUGAGUAAUGCCUGGGAAUUGUCCAGUCGAGGGGGAGAACAGUUGGAAAAGACUGCUAAUACCGCAUACGCGCGGAAUGCCACGGUGGGAUUAGCUAGUUGGAGUGGUAAUGGCUCACCAAGGCGACGAUCCCUAGCUGUUAUGAGAGGAUGAUCAGCCACACUGGACUUGGGCCACGGUCCAGAAUCUUACGUGAGGCAGCAGUGGGGAAUAUUCCACAAUGGGGGAAACCCUGGUGCAGCCAUGCCGCGUGUUUGAAGAAGGCCUUCGGGUUGUAAAGCACUUUCAGCGAGGAGGCGUUACUCACAGAAAAAGCACCGGCUAACUCCGUGCCAGCAGCCGCGGUAAUAC
rnacentral:rRNA from 1 species